ACACAUGCAGUCGAACGGUAAGGCCCUUUCGGGGGUACACGAGUGGCGAACGGGUGAGUAACACGUGGGUAAUCUGCCCUGCACUUCGGGAUAAGCCUGGGAAACCGGGUCUAAUACCGGAUAUGAGCUCCUGCCGCAUGGUGGGGGUUGGAAAGUUUUUCGGUGCAGGAUGAGUCCGCGGCCUAUCAGCUUGUUGGUGGGGUAAUGGCCUACCAAGGCGACGACGGGUAGCCGGCCUGAGAGGGUGAUCGGCCACACUGGGACUGAGACACGGCCCAGACUCCUACGGGAGGCAGCAGUGGGGAAUAUUGCACAAUGGGCGAAAGCCUGAUGCAGCGACGCCGCGUGGGGGAUGACGGUCUUCGGAUUGUAAACUCCUUUCAGUAGGGACGAAGCGAAAGUGACGGUACCUGCAGAAGAAGCACCGGCCAACUACGUGCCAGCAGCCGCGGUAAUACGUAGGGUGCAAGCGUUGUCCGGAAUUACUGGGCGUAAAGAGCUCGUAGGCGGUUUGUCACGUCGUCUGUGAAAUCCUCCAGCUCAACUGGGGGCGUGCAGGCGAUACGGGCAGACUUGAGUACUACAGGGGAGACUGGAAUUCCUGGUGUAGCGGUGAAAUGCGCAGAUAUCAGGAGGAACACCGGUGGCGA
rnacentral:rRNA from 1 species